rnacentral:rRNA from 1 species
UACCUGCAGCUCAAGUGGUGACCGCUAUUAUUGGGCCUAAAACGUUCGUAGCCAGCUGAGUAAAUGCUUGGGUAAAUCGUGCCGCUUAACGGUACGAAUUCCGGGUAGACUGCUUAGCUUGAGACCGGGAGAAGCUAGAGGUACUCCUGGGGUAGAGGUGAAAUUCUGUAAUCCUGGGGGACCACCAGUGGCGAAGGCGUCUAGCUAGAACGGGUCUGACGGUGAGGGACGAAACCCUGGGGCGCAAACCGGAUUAGAUACCCGGGUAGUCCAGGGCGCAAACGCUGCUUGCUUGAUGUUAGCUGGGCUCCGGGCUCAGCUAGUGUCGGAGAGAAGUUGUUAAGCAAGCUGCCUGGGAAGUACGAUCGCAAGAUUGAAACUUAAAGGAAUUGGCGGGGGAGCACAGCAACGGGUGGAGCGUGCGGUUU